rnacentral:rRNA from 1 species
AAUAUUGGACAAUGGGGGGAACCCUCAUCCAGCCAUGCCGCGUGUGUGACGACGGCCUUUUGGUUGUAAAGCACUUUAAGCUAGGAGGAGGCUCCUCUAUUUAAUACCUAGAGAUAGUGGACGUUACUCGCAGAAUAAGCACCGCCCAACUCUGUGCCUGCAGCCGCGGUAAUACAGAGGGUGCAAGCGUUAAUCGGAUUUACUGGGCGUCAAGCGCGCGUAGGUGGCGAAUUAAGUCAAAUGUGAAAUCCCCGAGCUUAACUUGGGAAUUGCAUUCGAUACUGGUUGGCUAGAGUAUGGGAGAGGAUGGUAGAAUUCCAGGUGUAGAGGUGAAAUGCGUAGAGAUCUGGAGGAAUACCGAUGGCGAAGGCAGCCAUCUGGCCUAAUACUGACACUGAGGUGCGAAAGCAUGGGGAGCAAAC